CCAAAGCGUGGUCAUGGACCAUCUGCAUCAGAACCUCCUGGGUGUCUAUGGAAACUGGUUGCUGGGUUUCAGCCCCAAAGCCACUGAAUCAGAGAGUGUGGGGUGGAGGAUGGGAACCCGCAGUUGCAGCAAGCUCCCUGGGAAAGUUCCUCAGGCCUCAUCUGAGAUCAGAAACUGAUUGGCCAUCCAGGCUGACAUUUUUCCUCCAACAAAGGUUGAGAGUAAUUAAAGCCUAAUUCUGCUCCCUGGCCAAGAGACCAAACGCUAAGAACGGCCCUCUGGUGGGUCCUAGAGGGUCAACAGCAGACACGUGUAAAAGUGUCCCAGCGUGGAGCCAGGUGAACUCUUGAGAACCUUGUCUUCCAGCCACAGUCCUCCCUCUGGCCAGCAAUGAAGUCCACAGUAAAAAAUGAUGAUAAAGGCACACAGCAUAUCUGUUAUUCUAGUAAUCACAGAUGCAUUUGCAGCUCUCAUCAAAUUCCAGUAUGGACUGAGCCACACUAUUUCAAAUGCUGGGCCGUGAACGUCAUAGCAAUGCCCUCGAGCAUCUCCAAAACAACCAAUAGCAAACACAGCUUAAAUGUCUCUUUGGGAAACAGCUAUGAAGUUUGGGGUACAUGUAAAAUGUAAAAGGUAAAAUUUCUCUG